rnacentral:rRNA from 1 species
AUGGCAGCGGCGGCGUACACGGCGAAGCUCUCCGGCUGCACCCGUCCGCUCCCCAGCACCCUAAGCUCCAGCCCCCGCGCCACCCGCCUGGCCCCAUUCGCGUCACGCUCCCGGCCCCGCGCGCUUCUCGCCGCCGCCGCCGCCACCCUCCGCGAGGUCUGCUCCGGCCGCGUCCCCGACCACGUCCUCCAGAGGGCUGAGGACGUCGGGUACACCUCACCGACCGAGGUGCAGGAGCAGUCCCUGCCGGUGCUCCUCUCCGGCCAGGACUGCAUCCUCCACGCCCAGACAGGUUCAGGGAAGACGCUGGCCUACCUCCUGGCGGUCUUCUCGGCGAUAGACGUCGGGCGGUCCUCCGUGCAGGCGCUGGUCAUCGUGCCGACGCGGGAGCUCGGCAUCCAGGUCACCAAAGUCGCCAGGCUUCUCGCGGCGAAGACUUGCAACGUCAUGGCUUUGCUUGACGGCGGGAUGCUGACGAGGCAGAAGAGCUGGUUAAAGGCAGAGCCCCCUGCGAUAAUUGUAGCAACUGUUGCAAGCUUGUGCCAGAUGGUUGAGAAGCGUGCUUUCAGUCUUGGAUCAAUCAAAGUAUUAGUUAUCGAUGAGGUUGAUUUCAUUUUUGGAUCAUCAAAGCAAGUGAACUCCCUUCGCAAGAUACUAAAUUCUUACACAGCAGCAUCCAGCCGUCAAACCGUCUUUGCUAGCGCAUCCAUACCUCAGCACAAUCGCUUUGUGCAUGAUUGCGUGCAACAUAAAUGGACCAAGAGCGAUGUGGUUCAUGUUCAUGUCAACCCUGUCCAGCCCAUGCCUUCACACCUACGUCACACAUAUGUGAUCUGCAGUAAGAAGGAACGGUUGCAUGUUUUGCUAUCCUUGCUUGAGAGGGAUGCACCAAAGUCGGUGAUUAUAUUUGUCGCUCAACAGUCUGAGAAAUCAAAAAGGGCUGGAAAUCCUCCGCCGUCCACACUUGUUGUCGAAUUCCUGAGAACAGAGUAUAAAGGCAUCCUGGAGGUGCUUGUGCUAGAAGAAGAUAUGAAUUUCAACGCUCGGGCUACCUCGUUCACUGAAGUCAAGGGAAAAGGUUUCCUGCUAGUUUCGACGGACAUAGCGAGCAGAGGGUUCGACCUUCCGCAGACCAGCCACAUAUACAACUUCGACCUUCCUAAGACGGCGACCGACUACCUCCACCGCGCCGGAAGAACCGGGAGAGAACCGUUCUCCAAGUCGGAGUGCAGCGUGACGACCCUCAUAACGGAGGAGGAGCACUUCGUGCUACAGAGGUUCCAGAACGAGCUCAAGUUCCACUCCCAACAGCUGCCCUUGGAGUCCAUGUUUACUUUCAACUUGUAA